UACAGAGGUGGCAAGCGUUGUUCGGAAUUACUGGGCGUAAAGGGCGCGUAGGCGGCCUUCUAAGUCAGACGUGAAAUCCCCAGGCUUAACUUGGGAACUGCGUCUGAUACUGGGAGGCUUGAAUGCGGGGGAGGGAUGUGGAAUUCCAGGUGUAGCGGUGAAAUGCGUAGAUAUCUGGAGGAACACCGGUGGCGAAGGCGGCAUCCUGGACCGACAUUGACGCUGAGGCGCGAAAGCCAGGGGAGCAAACGGG
rnacentral:rRNA from 1 species